CGUGUCCUGGUAGUGGGGGAUCGCCCGGCGUAAAGCCGGAUUAAUACCGCAUCCGCUCUGUGGAGGAAAGCGGGGGAUCUUUCGGGACCUCGCGCUCAAGGGGCGGCCGAUGGCAGAUUAGGUAGUUGGUGGGGUAAAGGCCUACCAAGCCGACGAUCUGUAGCUGGUCUGAGAGGACGACCAGCCACACUGGGACUGAGACACGGCCCAGACUCCUACGGGAGGCAGCAGUGGGGAAUUUUGGACAAUGGGCGCAAGCCUGAUCCAGCAAUGCCGCGUGUGUGAAGAAGGCCUUCGGGUUGUAAAGCACUUUUGUCCGGAAAGAAAACCUCUGGGUUAAUACCCCGGGGGGAUGACGGUACCGGAAGAAUAAGCACCGGCUAACUACGUGCCAGCAGCCGCGGUAAUACGUAGGGUGCGAGCGUUAAUCGGAAUUACUGGGCGUAAAGCGUGCGCAGGCGGUGAUGUAAGACCGAUGUGAAAUCCCCGGGCUUAACCUGGGAACUGCAUUGGUGACUGCAUCGCUCGAGUAUGGCAGAGGGGGGUAGAAUCCACGUGUAGCAGUGAAAUGCGUAGAGAUGUGGAGGAAUACCGAUGGCGAAGGCAG
rnacentral:rRNA from 1 species